AAAAGUCGUAACAAGGUCUCCGUUGGUGAACCAGCGGAGGGAUCAUUACCGAGUUUACAAACUCCCAAACCCUUUGUGAACCUUACCUAUCGUUGCUUCGGCGGGAUCGCCCCGGGCCGGCCCUUCACGGGGCCUCCGGAACCAGGCGCCCGCCGGAGAACCCAAACUCUUUGUUUUUAUGGUUUUCUCCUCUGAGUGGAUUAUAAACAAAUAAAUCAAAACUUUCAACAACGGAUCUCUUGGUUCUGGCAUCGAUGAAGAACGCAGCGAAAUGCGAUAAGUAAUGUGAAUUGCAGAAUUCAGUGAAUCAUCGAAUCUUUGAACGCACAUUGCGCCCGCCAGUAUUCUGGCGGGCAUGCCUGUUCGAGCGUCAUUUCAACCCUCAGGCCCCCAGUGCCUGGCGUUGGAGAUCGGCCGUACGGCUGCAGCCCUCCGGGGAUGCGCGCCGGGCCGGCUCCGAAAUCUAGUGGCGGUCUCGCUGUAGUCCUCCUCUGCGUAGUAGCACAACCUCGCAGUUGGAACGCGGCGGUGGCCAUGCCGUUAAACACCCCACUUCUGAAAGUUGACCUCGGAUCAGGUAGGAAUACCCGCUGAACUUA
rnacentral:rRNA from 1 species